AUUGAACGCUGGCGGAAUGCUUUACACAUGCAAGUCGAACGGCAGCACGGGAGCUUGCUCCUGGUGGCGAGUGGCGAACGGGUGAGUAACAUAUCGGAACGUACCCAGUCGUGGGGGAUAACUAUCCGAAAGGAUAGCUAAUACCGCAUACGUCCUGAGGGAGAAAGCGGGGGAUCGCAAGACCUCGCGCGAUUGGAGCGGCCGAUAUCGGAUUAGCUAGUUGGUGGGGUAAAGGCUCACCAAGGCGACGAUCCGUAGCGGGUCUGAGAGGACGACCCGCCACACUGGAACUGAGACACGGUCCAGACUCCUACGGGAGGCAGCAGUGGGGGAAUUUUGGACAAUGGGGGCAACCCUGAUCCAGCCAUUCCGCGUGAGUGAAGAAGGCCUUCGGGUUGUUAAAGGCUCUUUCAGCAGGAACG
rnacentral:rRNA from 1 species